rnacentral:rRNA from 1 species
AGAGUUUGAUCCUGGCUCAGAACGAACGCUGGCGGCGUGCUUAACACAUGCGAGUCGAACGAGAAAGAGCCCUUCGGGGCUUUAGUAAAGUGGCGCACGGGUGAGUAACGCGUGGGUAAUCUACUUUAAAGACGGGGAUAACAUCUCGAAAGGGGUGCUAAUACCGGAUAAGACCACGAAGUCUCCGGACUAUGUGGUAAAAGGGGGUAGCUUGACUGCUCCUACUUUUAAAUGAGCCCGCGUACCAUUAGCUUGUUGGUAGGGUAAUGGCCUACCAAGGCUACGAUGGUUAGCUGGUCUGAGAGGAUGAUCAGCCACACUGGAACUGGAACACGGUCCAGACUCCUACGGGAGGCAGCAGUGGGGAAUUUUGCGCAAUGGGGGAAACCCUGACGCAGCAACGCCGCGUGAGUGACGAAGGCCUUCGGGUUGUAAAGCUCUGUCAGUUAGGAAGAAAUGUUUAUAUUAACUGUAUAAACUAUGACGGUACUAACAGAGGAAGCACCGGCUAACUCCGUGCCAGCAGCCGCGGUAAUACGGAGGGUGCAAGCGUUGUUCGGAUUUACUGGGCGUAAA